rnacentral:rRNA from 1 species
UACGUAGGUGGCAAGCGUUGUCCGGAAUUAUUGGGCGUAAAGCGCUCGCAGGCGGUUCUUUAAGUCUGAUGUGAAAUCUUGCAGCUCAACUGUAAACGUGCAUUGGAAACUGGAGGACUUGAGUGCAGAAGAGGAGAGUGGAAUUCCAUGUGUAGCGGUGAAAUGCGUAGAGAUGUGGAGGAACACCAGUGGCGAAGGCGACUCUCUGGUCUGUAACUGACGCUGAGGAGCGAAAGCGUGGGGAGCGAACAGG